AUUGAACGCUGGCGGCAGGCUUAACACAUGCAAGUCGAGCGGGGGAAGGUAGCCUGCUACCGGACCUAGCGGCGGACGGGUGAGUAAUGCUUAGGAAUCUGCCUAUUAGUGGGGGACAACAUCUCGAAAGGGAUGCUAAUACCGCAUACGUCCUACGGGAGAAAGCAGGGGAUCUUCGGACCUUGCGCUAAUAGAUGAGCCUAAGUCGGAUUAGCUAGUUGGUGGGGUAAAGGCCUACCAAGGCGACGGUCUGUAGCGGGUCUGAGAGGAUGAGCCGCCACACUGGAACUGAUAAACGGCCGGGACUCCUACGGGAGGCAGAAGUGGGGAAUAUUGGACAAGGGGGGGAACCCUGAUCCAGCCAUGCCGCGUGUGUGAAGAAGGCCUUACGUUUGUAAAGCACUUUAAGCGAGGAGGAGGCUACUCUAGUUAAUACCUAGGGAUAGUGGACGUUACUCGCAGAAUAAGCACCGGCUAACUCUGUGCCAGCAGCCGCCGUAA
rnacentral:rRNA from 1 species